rnacentral:sRNA from 1 species
ACCACAUACACGUCGUAAAUGCUCCCUAGGCUGGCUGCGGCUACAAGGCAGACCCGGGAGCUGAGAAUAGAGGAAUACCUGCCCAAGCAACUCAUUCUGCACAGCAGCCGACAAGACAGCGAUUUUCCUGUGCUGGAAUGUGCCCAUCCAAAGACACUUGGAUUGGACUUAAUCUUAAACCUCUGGAGUUCAAGACCUUUUAAAAAGGGCUAAAUAAACAAUCUCUACAUGUAAAAGGCCACUGACUCCUGCUUCCUCUGUAUAGAGCAACUGUUGAACUCAGCUGCCUGUAAGUAAGAUUUUUUGUUCCAGAAUUAUUUGUUUUCUGAUAUGUUCAUAACUAAUGUCUUUAAAAUAACUUACUUAUAGUGAAAAUAAUAAGGGGAGUUGUGAACAAUUCCCAGGUAAACACUGUGUUCCAGAAUACAGCAGGAGCAUCUGGGCAUUUUUGUGGCUGUAAAUUUUAAACUUUGCUUAAAGCUCUCAUAAUAGUGACCUGCAGUACAGACUUGACUAUGACUAAGCCAUGGAUCAGAGGUCUAAUUAAGCCUGAUUGCCAGAGCAAUGAGAGGGUGUUUCAGACAUCAUACUUCUGUUGUUUAGACUGCUUUAUUUUUAACUUACCAGGGGCAUUUAAAAAAAAAAAAAAGCGGAAAAAGAUGCAACCAUCCACCUGAGUAAAGAGAAUACAUAUAAGUAAUUGUUCUUUAAGGGCAAUGAGCGAGCCGUAUUGUAUAAUGUUCUCCUUUCAUCACCGUUUCGUUCAUUGCUCAUGUGGAAUUAGAGUGGUUGAUCUGGGGGAUCUGGGGGUUUUGUUUUUGUUAUUGUUGUUUUGUAUGUUCCUGGCACAUUUUAGGGGACAGUUUUGAGGAUUCCUUACUAAGCUGACUAUCUUUUGCUGGGUACAUCUGCUGGCAGGUUUCUCUAAUGUGACAAUGUGAUACUUCGGGUCAGUUUCAGUGGCUCCCCUCUCCCCCUUGUUACGCUUGUACUUGACAUUUUGCGAAGUACUUUGAUCUGUGGACUUUAACUUCAAACGCAGCAUUUACUUUGAUUGUGGCUAUUUACUAUGUUCAGUAAAAAGUCUCCUUUUUUUUCCUUUUGGUUUAAUGCUUUGAUAGCAUUUCCUUUAAACAAUUUAUUGGAGCUUUAGUUUUCCUCACUGAUCUGUCUUAGAUUUUACUUCUAGAGGGACCCCCAAUUAUAAGAAAAGUGUUCUCUGGUAAAGUUCUCCCCAACACAGACUUCAUGACAGUUCAUGACCCCUGUCUGGCAGAUGUGUAAGAGCACGCAGCAAAUGACAGUGCACAGAGCCCCGCGCUGGCUACCCUGCUGCCUCAGAAUCUCUGUGUGCCUUGGGGCCCAACUGGUGCUUUUUAAAAACAUGGAUGCUGAAAUCUUUGGAGUUCAGAGAUACUUUUUUUUCAGAAAAGUUUAUUGGUAUCACAGACCACACAUCAAAGGAAAGCAUGCAUUUUAACUACCUAAUGAUUGUCUGAGUAACAAAAACAGGAAGAAAUAACAAAGAAAGAAAAAGAAAAUUAAAAUCAAAAGAAAACCAGAAAAAAAAAAAAC